GACAUGGAUGGACCACAAAGGCAAUGAGGUACAUGGAUCAACAUGCAGAGUUCUCCAUCUGAUUCAAUGUGACGGACGAUUGGAGAAUCGCAGGUGACAUUCGACAGAAAGGAGAAAUUAAGUUAAUGGGAGCAACAAAGAAGGGAAUAGACGAACCACCACACAAUCGCAUAUGGCAAUGAAUUGAGAGACCAAAGAGAAGAAGUCCAAUUCAAGAGAGUGAUAGGGACAGAAAACCAAAGCUGAGUGAAGAAAUAGAGAUAUAAGGGUUGUUUAAGUCUAGAAUCUUCAUAUUUGUUAAGAAUUUUAAUUAAACCCUACCCUAUUUGUGAAGACCCAAAAACCAUUUGCAGCGUUUUGCAUAUCAACAAACACACCCAUAAAACGAAGCACCAUACAUUGUUAUAGCACUUUUGAGAUGAAAAUAUGAA
rnacentral:misc_RNA from 1 species